rnacentral:rRNA from 1 species
CGGGAGGCUGCAGCAGUGAGGAAUUUUGCGCAAUGGGGGAAACCCUGACGCAGCAACGCCGCGUGAGUGAAGAAGGCUUUCGGGUCGUAAAGCUCUGUCAGAUAGGAAAAAAGUUCAUAUGUAAAUAGCUUAUGAAUCUGAUGGUACUAUCAGAGGAAGCACCGGCUAACUCCGUGCCAGCAGCCGUGGUAAUACGGAGGGUGCAAGCGUUGUUCGGAAUUACUGGGCGUAAAGGGCGUGUAGGCGGUAUGGUAAGUCAGAUGUGAAAGCCCUGGGCUUAACUCAGGAAGUGCAUUUGAUACUGCCAUCCUUGAGUAUGGGAGAGGAGAGUAGAAUUCCCAGUGUAGAGGUGAAAUUCGUAGAUAUUGGGAGGAAUACCCGUGGCGAAGGCGACUCUCUGGACCAAUACUGACGCUGAGACGCGAAAGCGUGGGGAGCAAACAGGAUUAGAUACCCUAGUAGUC